CAGCAGCCGCGGGAAUACAGAGGGUGCGAGCGUUAAUCGGAUUUACUGGGCGUAAAGCGUGCGUAGGCGGCUUCUUAAGUCGGAUGUGAAAUCCCUGAGCUUAACUUAGGAAUUGCAUUCGAUACUGGGAAGCUAGAGUAUGGGAGAGGAUGGUAGAAUUCCAGGUGUAGCGGUGAAAUGCGUAGAGAUCUGGAGGAAUACCGAUGGCGAAGGCAGCCAUCUGGCCUAAUACUGAGGCUGAGGUACGAAAGCAUGGGGAGCAAACAGGAUUAGAUACCCGUGUAGUCCCUGUCUCUUAUAA
rnacentral:rRNA from 1 species